rnacentral:rRNA from 1 species
UACGUAGGGACCAAGCGUUGUCCGGAUUUACUGGGCGUAAAGGGCGCGUAGGCGGCAUAUUAAGUCAGCUGUGAAAUCUCCGAGCUUAACUCGGAACUGUCAGCUGAUACUGAUGUGCUAGAGUGCAGAAAGGGCAAUCAGAAUUCUUGGUGUAGCGGUGAAAUGCGUAGAUAUCAAGAGGAAUACCUGAGGCGAAGGCGGGUUGCUAGGCUGACACUGACGCUGAGGCGCGAAAGCCAGGGGAGCAAACGGG